rnacentral:rRNA from 1 species
AUGCUGUCCUCCUCGGCAAAGUUUUCUUGUUCUUGUGCAGAGCGUGACCGGUGGCCGCUUGAGGCCAGGCUCAUCUGCGCCGCCCACGACGGUAGCGUCCGCAAAAUCAAGAAGACCGCAAAGGAGCUCGAUGUGCAUGGGCACGGUAUCCCGGCGACGGUGGCCAGCACCACCAACAUGGGAAUGAACAUGCUGGACAUCAGUCCAAGUAGAAUAACGGCCACCAUCUUCACCAAGCGCUGCACAUCCAUCCAAGUCGAGUACAUACAACAGUCCAAGGUCACUCGUCUAAAGUCAAGGGUCCACGACAUAUGUUUCAGAAGAUCAGUACCAUCAUUACAAACAAAUCAGUACUAUCAUUACAAAAGGAGGUUCAAAGACUGCCGUGUAGCAAGUUCAAGAGUUUAG